rnacentral:rRNA from 1 species
AAGAGGAGCUUGCUUCUUCGAUCGAGUGGCGAACGGGUGAGUAACGCGUGAGGAACCUGCCUCAAAGAGGGGGACAACAGUUGGAAACGACUGCUAAUACCGCAUGACGCAUAGGGGUCGCAUGAUCUUUAUGCCAAAGAUUUAUCGCUUCAAGAUGGACCCGCGUCUGAUUAGAUAGUUGGCGGGGUAACGGCCCACCAAGUCGACGAUCAGUAGCCGGACUGAGAGGUUGACCGGCCACAUUGGGACUGAGAUACGGCCCAGACUCC